AUUGAACGCUGGCGGCAGGCCUAACACAUGCAAGUCGAGCGGCAGCGGAAAGUAGCUUGCUACUUUGCCGGCGAGCGGCGGACGGGUGAGUAAUGUCUGGGGAUCUGCCUGAUGGAGGGGGAUAACUACUGGAAACGGUAGCUAAUACCGCAUAACGUCGCAAGACCAAAGAGGGGGACCUUCGGGCCUCUUGCCAUCAGAUGAACCCAGAUGGGAUUAGCUAGUAGGUGGGGUAACGGCUCACCUAGGCGACGAUCCCUAGCUGGUCUGAGAGGAUGAACAGCCACACUGGAACUGAGACACGGUCCAGACUCCUACGGGAGGCAGCAGUGGGGAAUAUUGCACAAUGGGCGCAAGCCUGAUGCAGCCAUGCCGCGUGUAUGAAGAAGGCCUUCGGGUUGUAAAGUACUUUCAGCGAGGAGGAAGGCGUUAAAGUUAAUACCUUGCUGUUUUGACGUUACCGACAGAAUAAGCACCGGCUAACUUCGUGCCAGCCGCCGCGGUAA
rnacentral:rRNA from 1 species